rnacentral:rRNA from 1 species
GUAGGGAAUCUUCCACAAUGGACGAAAGUCUGAUGGAGCAACGCCGCGUGAACGAUGAAGGCUUUCGGGUCGUAAAGUUCUGUUGUAAGGGAAGAACAAGUGCCGCAGGCAAUGGCGGCACCUUGACGGUACCUUGCGAGAAAGCCACGGCUAACUACGUGCCAGCAGCCGCGGUAAUACGUAGGUGGCAAGCGUUGUCCGGAAUUAUUGGGCGUAAAGCGCGCGCAGGCGGCCUCUUAAGUCUGAUGUGAAAGCCCCCGGCUCAACAGGGGAGGGCCAUUGGAAACUGGGAGGCUUGAGUAUAGGAGAGAAGAGUGGAAUUCCACGUGUAGCGGUGAAAUGCGUAGAGAUGUGGAGGAACACCAGUGGCGAAGGCGACUCUUUGGCCUAUAACUGACGCUGAGGCGCGAAAGCGUGGGGAGCAAACAGGAUUAGAAACCCCUGUAGUCC